rnacentral:snRNA from 1 species
GUGCUCACUUUGGCAGCACAUAUACUAAAAUUGGAAAUGAUACAGAGAAAAUUAGCAUGGCCCCUGCGCAAGGAUGACACAUAAAUUAGUGAAGCGUUCGUAUUUUUA